CUACGGAGGAUGCGAGCGUUAUCCGGAUUUAUUGGGUUUAAAGGGAGCGUAGGUGGGAUAUUAAGUCAGCUGUGAAAGUUUGGGGCUCAACCUUAAAAUUGCAGUUGAUACUGGUUUCCUUGAGUACGGUACAGGUGGGCGGAAUUCGUGGUGUAGCGGUGAAAUGCUUAGAUAUCACGAAGAACUCCGAUCGCGAAGGCAGCUCACCGGGCCGGAACUGACACUGAUGCUCGAAAGUGCGGGUAUCAAACAGGAUUAGAUACCCUGGUAGUCCGCACAGUAAACGAUGAAUACUCGCUGUGUGCGAUACACGGUAAGCGGCCAAGCGAAAGCGUUAAGUAUUCCACCUGGGGAGUACGCCGGCAACGGUGAAACUCAAAUGAAUUGACGGGG
rnacentral:rRNA from 1 species